rnacentral:rRNA from 1 species
AACGAACGCUAGCGGCGUGCCUAACACAUGCAAGUCGAGCGAGAAAAGACUUCGGUCUAAGUAAAGCGGCGCACGGGUGAGUAACACGUGGGUAACGUACCCUCGGGUGGGGGAUAACAGACCGAAAGGUUUGCUAAUACCGCAUCAGACCACAGUCCUCGCGGGGGACAGGGGUCAAAGGGGGCUGUCGCAAGGCAGCUCUCGCCUGAGGAUCGGCCCGCGGACCAUUAGCUAGUUGGUAGGGUAACGGCCUACCAAGGCUACGAUGGUUAGCUGGUCUGAGAGGACGAUCAGCCACACUGGGACUGAGACACGGCCCAGACUCCUACGGGAGGCAGCAGUGGGGAAUAUUGGACAAUGGGCGCAAGCCUGAU